UUGCUUCCCCCUUCGUCCGGAAUUACUUGUCGCAUAAGUAGAUAAAAAUGAAUGUAUUUAGAAUUAAAAUACAUCUAGAUACAUUCAUUCCUAUAACAAGUAUUCCCGGACGGAGGGAGUAGUUU
rfam:Hordeum vulgare subsp. vulgare, WGS project CAJW01000000 data, contig: morex_contig_54011